rnacentral:pre_miRNA from 1 species
UAUUAAAAAAUUAUUUAUUUGUAUUGUUAAAAAUUAGCGUGCCUAAUAAGAUAAUUAGACAAUAACACGAGGCAUGUCAUGUAUACUUUAUACUAAAGUAUAUGAAUUCGUUUUUAACAAUAGAAAAUGAUAAAAUUUUUAACA